rnacentral:lncRNA from 1 species
UGUACAAAGGCAAAGCCCACCUCGGUAUCGCUGCUGUUCUGGGGCCCGUGGAGGUCUCUGCACUGUGCUGCUGCUGCUNNNNNNNNNNCCCAUCAAACCUGCUGCUCUUCACAGGUGUCUCACCCAUGGAGAUCUCUGCACUGUGCUGCUCCUUCCCCAUCAGACCUGCUGCUCUUCACAGUUACCCUUUGAUCUCCUUUGAGUCCAGCUGUGGACGUGCAGGACAGCACUCACUGGGGAGCAUUACCCAAAUUGCUGGGAGCAGCAAUGACUCGCUGCCCUUGCUUGUGGCAACUGGGCCUGGAAGGAUCCCAACCCCUGAAGGUCAGAAGAACCUACAGUGAUGCUGGAUGAGAAGAACACAGAAGUUCAGUUUAGAUUUCUAAUUACUAAAAUACGUAUAAAAU